GGGCAGGAUAGGUGAAGUUGGCCAACCGUUUCACGGUUGCCAACUUCACAAUUCUUAUUCGCGCUUGCAGCGCUCAACGAACAUCCUGCCCUGCGGGACA
rfam:Methyloglobulus morosus KoM1 MGMO_93c, whole genome shotgun sequence.